AUUGAACGCUGGCGGCAUGCUUUACACAUGCAAGUCGAGCGGCAGCGCGGGGCAACCCUGGCGGCGAGCGGCGAACGGGUGAGUAAUGCAUCGGAACGUGUCCCGUAGUGGGGGAUAACCCGGCGAAAGCCGGGCUAAUACCGCAUAUGCUCUACGGAGGAAAGGGGGGAUCCGCAAGGACCUCUCGCUAUGGGAGCGGCCGAUGUCCGAUUAGCUUGUUGGUGGGGUAAUGGCUUACCAAGGCGACGAUCGGUAGCUGGUCUGAGAGGAUGAUCAGCCACACUGGGACUGAGACACGGCCCAGACUCCUACGGGAGGCAGCAGUGGGAAUUUUGGACAAUGGGGCAACCUGAUCCAGCCAUGCCGCGUGCGGGAAGAAGG
rnacentral:rRNA from 1 species